CUACGGGAUGCACCAGUGGAGAAUAUUGGACAAUGGGGGAAACCCUGAUCCAGCAAUGCCGCGUGUGUGAAGAAGGCCUGCGGGUUGUAAAGCACUUUCGGUUGGGAGGACUGCUUCUAGCACUAAUAUUGUUGGAAGUUGACGUUACCUUCAGAAGAAGCACCGGCUAACUCCGUGCCAGCAGCCGCGGUAAUACGGAGGGUGCAAGCGUUAAUCGGAAUUACUGGGCGUAAAGCGCGCGUAGGCGGCUAGAUCAGUCGGGUGUGAAAGCCCCGGGCUUAACCUGGGAACUGCAUCCGAUACUGUCUAGCUUGAGUACAGGAGAGGAGAGUGGAAUUCCACAUGUAGCGGUGAAAUGCGUAGAUAUGUGGAGGAACACCAAUGGCGAAGGCAGCUCUCUGGCCUGAUACUGACGCUAAGGUGCGAAAGCGUGGGGAGCAAACAGGAUUAGAUACCCCCGUAGUC
rnacentral:rRNA from 1 species